GCCUAUAUAACUCAGUGGUAGAGCGUCGCACUCGUAAUGUAAAGGUCCAUAGUUCAAUCCUGUGUCGAGGCU
rnacentral:tRNA from 1 species